GGAGUCGGCCAGACAGUCGCGUCACUCGCAAGAGUGCCGAGGAAAGUCCGGGCUCCAUAGGGCAAGGUGCCAGGUAACGCCUGGGCGGCGCGAGCCGACGGAAAGUGCAACAGAAAGAUACCGCCUACGUCCCUCGUCACCCCUCUGCCGCCACUGACGCGUGUCGGCGAUGCGAAGCAUCGCCAAGUGCGUUUAGAGGCUGCAGAGGGGUGGCGAGGGGCCGGUAAGGGUGAAAUGGUGCGGUAAGAGCGCACCGCGAGUCCGGUAACGGACCGGCACGGCAAACCCCACCUGGAGCAAGACCAAAUAGGGAUCCAUUGGCGUGGCCCGCGCUGGAUCCGGGUAGGUUGCUUGAGCGCUGCGGUGACGUAGCGCCUAGACGAAUGACUGUCCACGACAGAACCCGGCUUACCGGCCGGCUCCGCCA
rnacentral:RNase_P_RNA from 1 species